rnacentral:lncRNA from 1 species
AGGGGAAGAGCUGAGAAGGGCCACCGCAAGUGAAGAAAGAUGAGAGAGUAGCGGAAGCGGGAGCUUUGUGGAAGUCGAGGCCGAAGGGAAGGGGAAGGAAGGGAAAUUGGGUUGAGUAGAAAUGUGUGACAUUAGAAACUGAAGCAAAUAAGGCAUGAAUAUUCGUCAUCCAAACUUCAAGCAAACAAGGAGAGCCACGGGGAGCCGAGAAGAUCAUUCAAAGUUAAAACCGAGGCUGAAUCGCACCACACCAGUG